GGGGGUGUAUUUGGUUUCGACUAUCAGUUGUGUAGGUCGUAUCUUGCAGGCAGAGCGCCAACUCUUUAAACUAGCAAAAACAAUAACUGCUAAAAAGAAAGAAGACGACGAAGUCUACUUCGACGAUGCAGAGUUAGCUCUUGCAGCUUAAGCGACAGCUGACGGGGAUUUCUAAAGGGUGACCCCAGACUUAGAUUUCCUUAAUACCUGAGGUUCGAGCGGCACCUUGGCACGUGAUGCUUCUCUAAAUUUUACCGUGUCUUUGUAUAGGAAUCGGGAGGUUUGUUACCAGUUCCUAUGCGAGACUGCAAGUACAAACUAAGCUUGUAGACGGGUACGGAUGCCCUGGUAGGACGGGAGUUCGACUCUCCCCAUCUCCA
rnacentral:tmRNA from 1 species